CAGCCGUAAACUAUGCGCGUUAGGUGUACUGGUGACCACGAGUCACCGGGUGCCGAAGGGAAACCGUGAAACGUGCCGCCUGGGAAGUACGGUCGCAAGGCUGAAACUUAAAGGAAUUGGCGGGGAGCACCACAACGGGUGGAGCCUGCGGUUUAAUUGGACUCAACGCCGGAAAUCUCACCGGAUAGGACAGACAUAUGAUAGUCGGGCUGAAGACUCUACUUGAUGAUCUGAGAGGAGGUGCAUGGCGUCAGU
rnacentral:rRNA from 1 species